rnacentral:rRNA from 1 species
GACGAACGCUGGCGGUAUGCUUAACACAUGCAAGUCGAACGAGACGAGAUGGAAUGAUCCUUCGGGAGAAUGAAAUCUUAGAAAGUGGCGAACGGGUGAGUAACGCGUGGGUAACCUACCCUAUGGAAAGGAAUAGCCUCGGGAAACUGGGAGUAAUGCCUUAUAAGAUACGUUUGUCGCAUGACAGAUGUAUUAAACGCUCCGGUGCCAUAGGAUGGACCCGCGUCCCAUUAGCUAGUUGGUGAGAUAACAGCUCACCAAGGCGACGAUGGGUAACCGGUCUGAGAGGGCGAACGGUCACACUGGAACUGGGACACGGUCCAGACUCCUACGGGAGGCAGCAGUGGGGAAUAUUGCGCAAUGGGGGCAACCCUGACGCAGCAAUACCGCGUGAGUGAAGAAGGUUUUCGGAUCGUAAAGCUCUGUUAUUGGGGACGAUAAUGACGGUACCUAAGGAGGAAGCCACGGCUAACUACGUGCCAGCCGCCGCAGUAA